UCCGGUUUGUCACCGGCGGUCCCCUUAGAGUUCCCAACUAAAUGGUGGCAACUAAAGACGAGGGUUGCGCUCGUUGCGGGACUUAACCCAACAUCUCACGACACGAGCUGACGACAGCCAUGCAGCACCUGUGAACUGGCCCUUGCGGGCGGAGGCAUCUCUGCCAUCCUUCCAGUCCAUGUCAAGCCCAGGUAAGGUUCUGCGCGUUGCAUCGAAUUAAACCACAUGCUCCACCGCUUGUGCGGGCCCCCGUCAAUUUCUUUGAGUUUUAAUCUUGCGACCGUACUCCCCAGGCGGGAUACUUAACGCGUUAGCUUCGCCACUAAAGGGGUCAAUACCUCUAACAGCAAGUAUCCAUCGUUUACAGCGUGGACUA
rnacentral:misc_RNA from 1 species